rnacentral:rRNA from 1 species
AAUGAACGCUGGCGGCAGGCCUAACACAUGCAAGUCGAACGGCCACACAGUAAGCUCUUGCCCCUACGGGUGGCGGGUGGCGGGUGAGUGAGAAGUGCAUCGCCAUCUUCUUUUUCUGGGGGGAUAACGUAGGACAACUUCCGCUAAUACCGCAUAUAACCAACGGCAGAAAGCAAUAGUGCAUCGCGCCUUUCCCGUCUCAUUUAGCCGAUGCCGCAUUAGCUAGUUGGGAUGGUAAAGGCCCACCAAGGCGACGCUCCGUAGCUGGCCUGAGAGGAUGAUCGGCCACACUGGAACUGAGACACGGUCCAGACUCCUACGGGAGGCAGCAGUGGGGAAUCUUGGGCAAUGGGCGAAAGCCUGAUCCAGCCACACCGCGUGAGUGAAGAAGGCCUUCGGGUUGUAAAGCCCUGUUGUUGGGGAAGAAAAGAAGUGGGUGAAUACCCGGAUGUUCUGACGGUACCUAAAGAAUAAGCACCGGCUAACUUCGUG